UAGGGAAUAUUGGACAAUGGGUGAGAGCCUGAUCCAGCCAUGCCGCGUGCAGGAAGAAGGCGUUAUGCGUUGUAAACUGCUUUUUGCCAGGGGAUAAAAUGACCGUGCGCGGUUAAUUGAAGGUACCUGGUGAAUAAGCCACGGCUAACUACGUGCCAGCAGCCGCGGUAAUACGUAGGUGGCAAGCGUUGUCCGGAUUUAUUGGGUUUAAAGGGUGCGUAGGUGGCCCUGUAAGUCAGUGGUGAAAUAUCUCAGCUUAACUGAGAGGGUGCCAUUGAUACUGCAGGGCUUGAGUACAGAUGAGGUAGGCGGAAUUGACGGUGUAGCGGUGAAAUGCAUAGAUAUCGUCAAGAACACCGAUAGCGAAGGCAGCUUACCAAGCUGUAACUGACACUGAGGCACGAAAGUGUGGGGAUCGAACAGGAUUAGAUACCCAUGUAGUCCCUGAGCGGGCUGGCAAGGCGCAU
rnacentral:rRNA from 1 species